AAAAUAAUGUUGUUUUUUUUCUGUAAAGGUAUCAGAGCAGCACAGACUGUCAUCCAGGAUGACCAUCAGCAGCAAGUGUACUCCUCUCUCCUCCAUGGAGAUCUUGGUCUCUAUGAAACAAUCAGAGGGUCUGGAAACUCUGGAAAUGGUCAAGAACAACAGGAUGGUACUAAUGUGACUGCAGGGUCAGACUAACCUGGAACAUUUUUUCUAGAGGGGUCCUGUCUAGACCUAAACAUCUUUGAUCUGGGUUCAAAUCCUUUGGCUCCUCAGAACCUACCAUGACAGUAGUAUCAGCGGCACCAGGAUGAAGUCCAGUCAUCUGAGAGUUUUCCUUCUAUCCAGCAGCUUUUGCCA